ensembl:antisense
GAAAAGACUGGUGUGCUACGCAAUUCUAGGCUGGUUUUACAGUGAAGGCUGGACCCUAACAACCUGCACCAGACCCCCCCGUGGACAGCAAGGAAGAGUGCCAGGACUCUGUCUCCCGGAACAGGCAGCCUAGCGAACCAAGAGCAGCCAGAGGACAGAAGCACACUGGGACACAACCCAGGCCAGGGCUGCAAGGGUUUGAUAGUAUAGACCUGUGAUUCCAGUACCCUGCUGAAGCAGGAGAAUAACUGAGUUGGAGGGCCGCCUGAGCUACACAGCAAAGCCUUCCUUGUCUUAAGCACUUCUCUCCGAAAAGAAGCCCCGGCAGGUGAGGCCUGUGGUUUGCCUGCAGACUUCCUCCGCACAUCACCACAGAAGAAGAGCCUCUGGGGAGCGGGCAGGGCACAAAGAGUGCCGCUGGUGGGGUCUUACUGAGCCGCACUAGCUGGCCUUGAGCUCACAGAGAUCUGCUCCCCUCUGCUGGGGCAUGGCAGGUUCCUAGCCAGGAAUACCACAGAAGCAAGCCUUUGGUAUAUGCGGACCCUCCUGCAGAGGAGAAGGCAUGAAGGACGGCUGACCUCUGAAAGUUUGCCCGGACUUUCUGACUAGGCCACACAGUUCAAGCUAGACAGUCCCUUGGAAUCUGGAGGUCAUGUGUUUAAUUUGUUCAUGUUCUGUGUGAGUGUUUGCUGGGAACCAAGAGCCUUGCAGGCACCAGGCUUGGGAAACCUUGACUAGGGGUUGGGCUUCAGGCUCAUGGUACGCUAGGGCUCUGACCCCACUCCUGCAUGGACACGGGGUCCCCUCUGUGCUCAGUCUGGCUGGCCCCUGGGCUUUGGGUAGACCUAGAAGAGGAGACCUAGAAGGCCCCUCCCUGUGAAGUCCAUUGGGAAUAGGUCAGAACAGCCUGCCUAGGGCCCCCCAUGGGCAGCCGUUCCCAGAAUGGGGGUUUCAUCUUUCUGUUGCUGUUGGCAAAUAUACAUGUGGUCUUAAUUAUUUAUACAUGGCACUUAUCUCCCCAAAUGUUUUAUCGAGAUUCUGUAGACAGGCAAGUGUGCAUGGUGGGCGACAGGGUAGGAAGCAGACAGACACACUGGGCCAGGCAGCAACCAAAUCAUCCUGGCCCAGUGGUCAAGAUGGAGGGACCCCGUCAGUGGGAGCGUUGACCUUCCCAUGAACGAGUGUUGGGAGCUGCACACGUGUGUGUCGUGCCCAUGGGAGUCUAGAGCUGGCAGGCUUACCCAUGGCUUUGCCUAGGUUGCAGCAGGGUGUGACCACCAAAGCCCGGUUCUCCUGUUUUUGGUUGGUAGGCAGAGCUGCAUAGGGAGCUAGCCACCCACGAGGCCCAGAGAAGGGCCCUAAGCUGGCUAUGACAGUACAUGGUACUUGAGAGACGAAGACAAGAACUUGCGAGUUUAAGCCUAGCGUGGGCUACACAGUGUGUUCUAGGCUAGCUUGGGGAAAAUGAAAUCCUGUCUCCAAAAACUAAACCCAGGGCUGAAAAGAUGGCUCAACAGUUAAGUAGCUGCUCUUGCAGACGACCAAAGUUCAGUUCCCAGCACCCACAUGGCAGCUCACACGCAUUUGUAACUCCUGUUCUGAGGAUCUAAUGCCUUCUUUGGGUACCAGAGAUGCAUGAGGUGAAUGUACAUCCACGCCGGCAAAACACCUAUGCACAAACUAAAAAUUAAAAAUUAUCCAGGCAUGGUUUAACCUUGAAAAGGAGUGAUAAGCUGGGUGGUAGCGGCGAUGGCGGUGAUGGCACACACCUUUAAUCCCAGCACUCCAGAGGCAGAGGCAGGGGGAAUCUCUGAGACCAGCCUGGUCCACAGAGUUCCAGGACAGCCAGGGCUACAAACCUGGUCUUGAAAAACAAAACCACAAUAC